ACUCAACAUUACACUUUUUAAAAAGGGUGAGUUUCGGUUGUAAGAGCAGGCCUUCUUGUCAAGGAUCCUCGCGCAGCUGGUUAGCCCUAAACCUGUUUUUAGGAGUUU
rnacentral:sRNA from 1 species